UACAGAGGGGGCGAGCGUUGUUCGGAAUUACUGGGCGUAAAGGGCGCGUAGGCGGCCCGCUAAGUCGAACGUGAAAUCCCUCGGCUUAACCGGGGAACUGCGUCUGAUACUGGAUGGCUUGAGUUUGGGAGAGGGACGCGGAAUUCCAGGUGUAGCGGUGAAAUGCGUAGAUAUCUGGAGGAACACCGGUGGCGAAGGCGGCGUCCUGGACCAAUACUGACACUGAGGAGCGAAAGCCAGGGGAGCAAACGGG
rnacentral:rRNA from 1 species